rnacentral:rRNA from 1 species
AGUGAACGCUGGCGGUAGGCCUAACACAUGCAAGUCGAACGGCAGCACAGUAAGAGCUUGCUCUUACGGGUGGCGAGUGGCGGACGGGUGAUGAAUACAUCGGAAUCUACUUUUUCGUGGGGGAGAACGUAGGGAAACUUACGCUAAUACCGCAUACGACCUACGGGUGAAAGCAGGGGAUCUUCGGACCUUGCGCGAUUGAAUGAGCCGAUGUCGGAUUAGCUAGUUGGCGGGGUAAAGGCCCACCAAGGCGACGAUCCGUAGCUGGUCUGAGAGGAUGAUCAGCCACACUGGAACUGAGACACGGUCCAAACUCCUACGGGAGGCAGCAGUGGGGAAUAUUGGACAAUGGGCGCAAGCCUGAUCCAGCCAUACCGCGUGGGUGAAGAAGGCCUUCGGGUUGUAAAGCCCUUUUGUUGGGAAAGAAAAGCAGCAGGUUAAUACCCCGCUGUUCUGACGGUACCCAAAGAAUAAGCACCGGCUAACUUCGUG